UAGGUAGUUAGCUCAGCGGUAGAGCAUCUGCCUUACAAGCAGAAAGUCAUUGGUUCAAUUCCAAUACUACCUAA
rnacentral:tRNA from 1 species